GACGAACGCUGGCGGCGUGCCUAAUACAUGCAAGUCGACCUUAGUGGCGAACGGGUGAGUAACACGUGGGUAACCUGCCCAUCAGAAGGGGAUAACACUUGGAAACAGGUGCUAAUACCGUAUACUGAUGGAUGGAACCGCGGUGCAUUAGCUAGUUGGUGAGGUAACGGCUCACCAAGGCCACGAUGCAUAGCCGCCCUGAGAGGGUGAUCGGCCACAUUGGGACUGAGACACGGCCCAAACUCCUACGGGCGGCAGCAGUAGGGAAUCUUCGGCAAGGGACGAAAGUCUGACCGAGCAACGGCGCCUGAGUGAAGAAGGUUGUCGGAUCGUAAAACCCUGUUGUUCGAGAAGCGGUACCGAACCAGAUAUCCACGGCUAACGACGUGACAGCAGCCGCGGUAAUUC
rnacentral:rRNA from 1 species